rnacentral:lncRNA from 1 species
GAGGAGACUGCAGAGUUACUGGAGCGAGGACGGAGAAAUAUUUGCUAGCGCUGGUCUCGCAUCAGAAACCGUCAUUGCUGGCCUGCAAAUCUGAGCAUUUCUUCUCCCCUCCUGUGACAUCCAGCCCUGUCUUCCCUCCCUGGCUCUCCCGCUGCACAUGCUGUUCCCUAGGCAGAGCCCCUGGCACCAGAGGGGUGGGACUCAUUUUAAAAAACCUGCUGCACCUGAGGGCCAUGAGCUGUCCUCGACAUCUGGAGAGCCAAAGGAGCAGCCCCUUGUCCUUGGGACCUCAGCACUUAUAGAGGACCCUGCUGUGCCAAGAAGAGCCUUGCUGAAAGGAGCCCACCACCAGGAAAAGGCCAAAGGCUGCAGCCUCCUGUAG